AAAGAUUUAGUUAAUUAAUAACCUUGAAAUGUCAAAUCAAAAUUGUCUAAGACAAUCUUUA
rnacentral:tRNA from 1 species